rnacentral:rRNA from 1 species
UGAGGAAUCUUGCGCAAUGGGCGAAAGCCUGACGCAGCGACGCCGCGUGGAGGAUGAAGGUCUUCGGAUCGUAAACUCCUGUGAGGUGGGACGAAUGCCGGAGAGGCGAAUAACCUCUCCAGUUGACGGUACCAUCAGAGGAAGCCCCGGCUAACUCCGUGCCAGCAGCCGCGGUAAUACGGAGGGGGCCAGCGUUGUUCGGAAUCAUUGGGCGUAAAGGGCGCGUAGGCGGCCGAGCAAGUCGGACGUGAAAUACCCCGGCUCAACUGGGGAAUUGCAUCUGAAACUGCCUGGCUUGAGUCCUGGAGAGGGUAGUGGAAUUCCCAGUGUAGCGGUGAAAUGCGUAGAUACUGGGAGGAACACCGGUGGCGAAGGCGGCUACCUGGACAGGUACUGACGCUGAGGCGCGAAAGCUAGGGGAGCAAACAGGAUUAGAUACCCGCGUAGUCC